GGAGGCAAUAUCAUAGUGAUUAACCCUCGAAGCAGUCAUCACUUAAGAAAAUGUUCUAAGUUUUUAUAGUGAGCCAAACCAACCUGACAAAAGCGAAACAAAUCCUGACGGAAUUCAUGCAAGAGACUCUUUGCAAGGAAAAAUUUUCAGUCGGAGAAGAGGAGGGCAUCCAUCAACAUACUCCGAUUCUCCUGUACAAGAUAAUGGUGCC
rnacentral:lncRNA from 1 species